AAAACAACUGCAUCAACUGGGUUCAAAAUGAAGGCACAGAAAGUGACUGCUACUUUCACCAUGGUGUUCUUAUGUUGGACUUUCCAUGGAGUUUCUUCCACAACCGCAUCUUCCACAACUGCAUCUCCAACAACUGCAGAUCUUAUUACGACAAAAACAACUGUAGCUCCAACGACAACUGUAGCUCCAACGACAAUUGCAGCUCCAACGACAAUUGCAGCUCCAACGACAACUGCAGCUCCAAUGACAACUACAACUGCAGUACCUAGUACAACAACCACAACUGCAGUUUCUAAUACAACUGUAGCUCCUAUGACCACUACAACAGGAGAAUAUAAAACGACAACUGUAGCUCCUACAGCAACAGAUAAACCUCCUACUACUACUACAACUACAGACCCUACUACAACUGUAGCUCCUACGGACACUACAAAAGUAACACCUACAAUGACCAAUGUAACUCCCACGCUACCUGCAGCUCCUACGACAACUGAAGCUCUGACGACAACAACUGCUGCUCCUACAACCACUACAACUCCAAAACCUACUACGACAGAAGCAACUUCUACGACUGCUACGACUACAGAACCUACCACUACAAACAGUGCAGCUCCUACUACAACAACUGUUGUUCUUAUGUCAACAAUGACUGCAGCACCUUCUACAACAACUACAACUUCAGCUCCUACGACAACCACAACAACAGCAACUACUAUAACACCUGCAGUUCCUACAACUGUAGCUCCCACGACCACUCCACCUGCUGUACUUACUACAACAAUCACAACUACAGCUCCUGCUACAACAAUUGUAGCUUCUACGUCAACCUCAGCAGCUGCCUCUACGACAACCCUAGCAGAUCUAACUACAACAACUGCUGCUCCAACGACCACUACAACUCCAGAACCUAUUACGACAACCACUGCAGCUCCUGCUAUAACAUUUACAACUUCCGCUCAAACGACAACCACAACAACAGCAGCUACAAUAACUGCAGCUCCCACGACAACUGCAGCUCCUACAACAGCUUUAGCAUCUACGACAACCAUAGAAGCUCUAACUACAACAACUGCUGCUCCAACGACCACUACAACUCCAGAACCUAUUACAACAACCACUGCAGCUCCUGCAAUAACAACUGCUGUUCUUACAACCACUGCGACUGCAGCACCUUCUACAACAACUACAACUUCAGCGCCUACGACAACCACAACAGCAACACCUACAACCCCUGCAGUUCCUACAACUGUAGCUACCACGACCACUCCACCUGCUGUACUUACUACAACAACCACAACAACAGCACCUACUACAACUGUAGCUCCCACGACAACUGCAGCUCCGACAACAACUUUAGCAUAUACUUCAACAACAGAAGCUGCCCCUACGACAGCCACUGCAACCCUAACGACAACAGCUUCUGCUCCUACGACCACUACAACUCCAGAACCUAUUACGACAGCCACUGCAGCUCCUGCUACAACAACUACUACUUCAGCUCCUACGACAACCACAACAGCAACACCUACAACAACUGUAGCUCCCACGACAACUGCAGCUCCUACAACAACUUUAGCAUCUACUUCAACCACAGAAGCUGCCCCUACGACAGCCGCUGCAGCCCUAACUACAACAACUGCUGCUCCUACUACCAAUGCAACUCCGCAACCUACUACAACAACCAGUGCAGCUCCUACUACAACAACUGCUGUUCUUACGACCACAGUGACUGCAGCACCUUCUACAACAACUACAACUUCAGCUCCUACGACAACCAUAACAACAGCACCUACUACAACUCCUGCAGUUCCUACAACUGUAGCUACCACGACCACUCCACCUGCUGUACUUACUACAACAAUCACAACUACAGCUCCUGAUACAACAACUGUAGCUCCUACGUCAACCACAGCAGCUGCCUCUACGACAACCAUAGAAGCUCUAACUACAACAACUGCUGCUCCAACGACCACUACAACUCCAGAACCUAUUACAACAACCACUGCAGCUCCUGCAAUAACAAAUGCUAUUCUUACAACCACUGCGACAGCAGCACUUUCUACAUCAACUACAACUUCAGCGCCUACGACAACCACAACAGCAACACCUACAACAACUGUAGCUCCCACGACAACUGCAGCGCCUACAACAUCUUUAGCAUCUACUUCAACCACAGAAGCUGCCCCUACGACAACAGCUUCUGCUCCUACGACCACUACAACUCCAGAACCUACUACUACAAUGACUGCAGCACCUUCAACAACAACUACAGCUUCUACUCUUACGACAACCACAACAGCAACACCUACUACAACACCUGCAGUUCCAACAACUGUAGAUCCCACGACCACCACACCUUCUGUACUUACUACACCAACCACAACUACAGCUCCUGCUACAACAAUUGUAGCUUCUACGUCAACCUCAGCAGCUGCCUCUACGACAACCACACCAGCCCAAACUACAACGACUGCUGCUCCAACGACCACUACAACUCCAGAACCUAUUACGUCAACCACUGCAGCUCCUGCUACCACAACUACUACUUCAGCUCCUACGACAACCACAACAGCAACACCUACAACAACUGUAGCUCCCACGACAACUGCAGCUCCUACAACAACUUUAGCAUCUACUUCAACCACAGAAGCUGGCCCUACGACAGCCGCUGCAGCCCUAACUACAACAAAUGCUGCUCCUACGACCACUACAACUCCAGAACCUACUACGACAACCAGUGCAGCUCCUGCUACAACAACUACAACUUUAGCUCCUACGACAACCACAACAGCAACACCUACAACAACUGUAGCUCCCACGACAACUGCAGCUCCUACAACAACUUUAGCAUCUUCUUCAACCACAGAAGCUGCCCCUACAACAGCCGCUGCAGCCCUAACUACAACAACUGCUGCUCCUUCGACCACUACAACUCCAGAACCUACUACGACAACCAGUGCAGCUCCUGCUACAACAACUACAACUUCAGCUCCUACGACAACCACAACAGCAACACCUACAACAACUUUAGCAUCUACUUCAACCACAGAAGCUGCCCCUACGACAGCUGCUGCAGACCUAACUACAACAACUGCUGCUCCUACGACCACUGCAACUCCACAACCUACUACGACAACCAGUGCAGCUCCUACUACAACAACUGCUGUUCUUACGGCCACAGUGACUGCAGCACCUUCUACAACAACAACAACUUCAGCUCCUACGACAACCACAACAACAGCAGCUACAACAACUCCUGCAGUUCCUACAACUGUAGCUACCACGACCACUCCACCUGCUGUACUUACUACAACAAUCACAACUACAGCUCCUACGUCAACCACAGCAGCUGCCUCUACGACAACCAUAGAAGCUCUAACUACAACAACUGCUGCUCCAACGACCACUACAACUCCAGAACCUAUUACAACAACAACUGCAGCUCCUGCAAUAACAAAUGCUAUUCUUACAACCACUGCGACUGCAGCACUUUCUACAUCAACUACAACUUCAGCGCCUACGACAACCACAACAGCAACACCUACAACAACUGUAGCUCCCACGACAACUGCAGCGCCUACAACAACUUUAGCNNNNNNNNNNCCUACUACGAUAACCAAUGCGGCUCUUACUACAACAACUGCUGUUCUUACGACCACAGUGACUGCAGCACCUUCUACAACAACAACAACUUCAGCUCCUACGACAACCACAACAACAGCACCUACUACAACUCCUGCAGUUCCUACAACUGUAGCUACCACGACCACUCCACCUGCUGUACUUACUACAACAAUCACAACUACAGCUCCUACGUCAACCACAGCAGCUGCCUCUACGACAACCAUAGAAGCUCUAACUACAACAACUGCUGCUCCAACGACCACUACAACUCCAGAACCUAUUACAACAACAACUGCAGCUCCUGCAAUAACAAAUGCUAUUCUUACAACCACUGCGACUGCAGCAUUUUCUACAUCAACUACAACUUCAGCACCUACGACAACCACAACAGCAACACCUACAACAACUGUAGCUCCCACGACAACUGCAGCGCCUACAACAACUUUAGCAUCUACUUCAACCACAGAAGCUGCCCCUACGACAGCCGCUGCAGCCCUAACUACAACAACUGCUGCUCCUACGACAACUGCAACUCCACAACCUACUACGACAACCAGUGCAGCUCCUGCUACAACAACUACAACUUUAGCUCCUAUGACAACCACAACAGCAACACCUACAAUAACUGUAGCUCCCACGACAACUGCAGCGCCUACAACAACUUUAGCAUCUACUUCAACCACAGAAGCUGCCCCUACGACAGCUGCUGCAGCCCUAACUACAACACCUGCUGCUCCUACGACCACUGCAACUCCACAACCUACUACGGCAACCAGUGCAGCUCCUACUACAACAACUGCUGUUCUUACGGCCACAGUGACUGCAGCACCUUCUACAACAACAACAACUUCAGCUCCUACGACAACCACAACAACAGCAGCUACAACAACUCCUGCAGUUCCUACAACUGUAGCUACCACGACCACUCCACCUGCUGUACUUACUACAACAAUCACAACUACAGCUCCUACGUCAACCACAGCAGCUGCCUCUACGACAACCAUAGAAGCUCUAACUACAACAACUGCUGCUCCAACGACCACUACAACUCCAGAACCUAUUACAACAACAACUGCAGCUCCUGCAAUAACAAAUGCUAUUCUUACAACCACUGCGACUGCAGCACUUACAACUUCAGCGCCAUCAACUACAACUUCAGCGCCUACAACAACCACAACAGCAACACCUACAACAACUGUAGCUCCCACGACAACUGCAGCGCCUACAACAACUUUAGCAUCUACUUCAACCACAGAAGCUGCCCCUACGACAACAGCUUCUGCUCCUACGACCACUACAACUCCAGAACCUACUACUACAACGACUGCAGCACCUUCUACAACAACUACAGCUUCUGCUCUUACGACAACCACAACAGCAACACCUACUACNNNNNNNNNNCACAGUGACUGCAGCACCUUCUACAACAACAACAACUUCAGCUCCUACGACAACCACAACAACAGCAGCUACAACAACUCCUGCAGUUCCUACAACUGUAGCUACCACGACCACUCCACCUGCUGUACUUACUACAACAAUCACAACUACAGCUCCUACGUCAACCACAGCAGCUGCCUCUACGACAACCAUAGAAGCUCUAACUACAACAACUGCUGCUCCAACGACCACUACAACUCCAGAACCUAUUACAACAACAACUGCAGCUCCUGCAAUAACAAAUGCUAUUCUUACAACCACUGCGACUGCAGCACUUUCUACAUCAACUACAACUUCAGCGCCUACGACAACCACAACAGCAACACCUACAACAACUGUAGCUCCCACGACAACUGCAGCGCCUACAACAACUUUAGCAUCUACUUCAACCACAGAAGCUGUCCCUACGACAACAGCUUCUGCUCCUACGGCCACUACAACUCCAGAACCUACUACUACAACGACUGCAGCACCUUCUACAACAACUACAGCUUCUGCUCUUACGACAACCACAACAGCAACACCUACUACAACACCUGCAGUUCCAACAACUGUAGCUCCCACAACCACCACACCUUCUGUACUUACUACGACAACCACAACUACAGCUCCUGCUACAACAAUUGUAGCUUCUACGUCAACCUCAGCAGCUGCCUCUACGACAACCACACCAGUUCUAACUACAACGACUGCUGCUCCAACGACCACUAUACCUCCAGAACCUAUUACGACAACCACUGCAGCUCCUGCAACAACAACUACAACUUUAGCUCCUACAACAACCACAACAGCAACACCUACAACAACUGUAGCUCCCACGACAACAGCAGCUCCUACAACAACUUUAGCAUCUACUUCAACCACAGAAGCUGGCCCUACGACAGCCGCUGCAGCCCUAACUACAACAACUGCUGCUCCUACGACCACUACAACUCCAGAACCUACUACGACAACCACUGCAGCUCCUGCUACAACAACUAAAACUUUAGCUCCUACGACAACCACAACAGCAACAACAAAAUCAACUGUAGCUCCCACGACAACAGCAGCUCCUACAACAACUUUAGCAUCUACUUCAACCACAGAAGCUGCCCCUACGACAGCCGCUGCAGCCCUAACUACAACAACUGCUGCUCCUACGACCACUACAACUCCAGAAACUACUACGACAACCAGUGCAGCUCCUGCUACAACAACUACAACUUUAGCUCCUAUGACAACCACAACAGCAACACCUACAACAACUGUAGCUCCCACGACAACAGCAGCUCCUACAACAACUUUAGCAUCUACUUCAACCACAGAAGCUGCCCCUACGACAGCUGCUGCAGACCUAACUACAACAACUGCUGCUCCUACGACCACUGCAACUCCACAAUCUACUACGACAACCAGUGCAGCUCCUACUACAACAACUGCUGUUCUUACGGCCACAGUGACUGCAGCACCUUCUACAACAACAACAACUUCAGCUCCUACGACAACCACAACAACAGCAGCUACAACAACUCCUGCAGUUCCUACAACUGUAGCUACCACGACCACUCCACCUGCUGUACUUACUACAACAAUCACAACUACAGCUCCUACGUCAACCACAGCAGCUGCCUCUACGACAACCAUAGAAGCUCUAACUACAACAACUGCUGCUCCAACGACCACUACAACUCCAGAACCUACUACUACAACGACUGCAGCACCUUCUACAACAACUACAGCUUCUGCUCUUACGACAACCACAACAGCAACACCUACUACGACACCUGCAGUUCCAACAACUGUAGAUCCCACGACCACUCCACCUGCUGUACUUACUACAACAAUCACAACUACAGCUCCUACGUCAACCACAGCAGCUGCCUCUACGACAACCAUAGAAGCUCUAACUACAACAACUGCUGCUCCAACGACCACUACAACUCCAGAACCUAUUACAACAACAACUGCAGCUCCUGCAAUAACAAAUGCUAUUCUUACAACCACUGCGACUGCAGCACUUACAACUUCAGCGCCAUCAACUACAACUUCAGCGCCUACAACAACCACAACAGCAACACCUACAACAACUGUAGCUCCCACGACAACUGCAGCGCCUACAACAACUUUAGCAUCUACUUCAACCACAGAAGCUGCCCCUACGACAACAGCUUCUGCUCCUACGACCACUACAACUCCAGAACCUACUACUACAACGACUGCAGCACCUUCUACAACAACUACAGCUUCUGCUCUUACGACAACCACAACAGCAACACCUACUACNNNNNNNNNNCCACGACCACUCCACCUGCUGUACUUACUACAACAAUCACAACUACAGCUCCUACGUCAACCACAGCAGCUGCCUCUACGACAACCAUAGAAGCUCUAACUACAACAACUGCUGCUCCAACGACCACUACAACUCCAGAACCUAUUACAACAACAACUGCAGCUCCUGCAAUAACAAAUGCUAUUCUUACAACCACUGCGACUGCAGCACUUACAACUUCAGCGCCAUCAACUACAACUUCAGCGCCUACAACAACCACAACAGCAACACCUACAACAACUGUAGCUCCCACGACAACUGCAGCGCCUACAACAACUUUAGCAUCUACUUCAACCACAGAAGCUGCCCCUACGACAACAGCUUCUGCUCCUACGACCACUACAACUCCAGAACCUACUACUACAACGACUGCAGCACCUUCUACAACAACUACAGCUUCUGCUCUUACGACAACCACAACAGCAACACCUACUACGACACCUGCAGUUCCAACAACUGUAGAUCCCACGACCACCACACCUUCUGUACUUACUACAACAACAACAACUACAGAUCCUGCUACAACAAUUGUAGCUUCUACGUCAACCUCAGCAGCUUCCUCUACGACAACCAUAGAAGCUCUAACUACAACAACUGCUGCUCCAACGACCACUACAACUCCAGAACCUAUUGCGACAACCACUGCAGCUCCUGCAAUAACAACUGCUGUUCUUACGACCACAGUGACUGCAGCACCUUCUACAACAACAACAACUUCAGCUCCUACGACAACCACAACAGCAACACCUACAACAACUGUAGUUCCCACGACAACUGCAGCGCCUACAACAACUUUAGCAUCUACUUCAACCACAGCAGCUGCCCCUACGACAACAGCUUCUGCUCCUACGACCACUACAACUCCAGAACCUACUACUACAACGACUGCAGCACUUUCUACAAAAACUACAGCUUCUGCUCUUACGACAACCACAACAGCAACACCUACUACAACACCUGCAGUACCAACAACUGCAGAUCCCACGACCGCCACACCUUCUGUACUUACUACAACAACCACAACUACAGCUCCUGCUACAACAAUUGUAGCUUCUACGACAACCACACCAGUUCUAACUACAACGACUGCUGCUCCAACGACCACUACAACUCCAGAACCUAUUACGACAACCAGUGCAGCUCCUGCUACAACAACUACAACUUCAGCUCCUACGACAACCACAACAGCAAUACCUACAACAACUGUAGCUCCCACGACAACUGCAGCUCCUACAACAACUUUAGCAUCUACUUCAACCACAGAAGCUGCCCCUACGACAGCCGCUGCAGCCCUAACUACAACAACUGCUGCUCCUACGACCACUGCAACUCCACAACCUACUACGACAACCAGUGCAGAUCCUACUACAACAACUGCUGUUCUUACGACCACAGUGACUGCAGCACCUUCUACAACAACAACUUCAGCUCCUACGACAACCACAACAACAGCACCUACUACAACUCCUGCAGUUCCUACAACUGUAGCUACCACGACCACUCCACCUGCUGUACUUACUACAACAAUCACAAUUACAGCUCCUACGUCAACCACAGCAGCUGCCUCUACGACAACCAUAGAAGCUCUAACUACAACAACUGCUGCUCCAACGACCACUACAACUCCAGGAGCUAUUCCAACAACCAGUGCAGCUCCUGCAAUAACAACUGCUGUUCUUACGACCACAGUGACUGCAGCACCUUCUACAACAACAACAACUUCAGCUCCUACGACAACCACAACAACAGCACCUACUACAACUCCUGCAGUUCCUACAACUGUAGCUACCACGACCACUCCACCUGCUGUACUUACUACAACAAUCACAACUACAGCUCCUACGUCAACCACAGCAGCUGCCUCUACGACAACCAUAGAAGCUCUAACUACAACAACUGCUGCUCCAACGACCACUACAACUCCAGAACCUAUUACAACAACAACUGCAGCUCCUGCAAUAACAAAUGCUAUUCUUACAACCACUGCGACUGCAGCAUUUUCUACAUCAACUACAACUUCAGCACCUACGACAACCACAACAGCAAC
rnacentral:lncRNA from 13 species